rnacentral:rRNA from 1 species
CUACGGGUUGCUGCAGUGAGGAAUAUUGGUCAAUGGGCGCAAGCCUGAACCAGCCAUGCCGCGUGAAGGAUGACGGCCCUAUGGGUUGUAAACUUCUUUUAUACGGGAAGAAACGCCUCUACGUGUAGAGGUUUGACGGUACCGUACGAAUAAGCAUCGGCUAACUCCGUGCCAGCAGCCGCGGUAAUACGGAGGAUGCAAGCGUUAUCCGGAUUUAUUGGGUUUAAAGGGUACGUAGGCGGAAGAUUAAGUCAGUAGUGAAAUCCUGCAGCUUAACUGUAGAACUGUUAUUGAUACUGGUUUUCUUGAAUGUAGUUGAGGUAGGCGGAAUAAGUAAUGUAGCGGUGAAAUGCUUAGAUAUUACUUAGAACACCGAUUGCGAAGGCAGCUUACUAAGCUAUGAUUGACGCUGAGGUACGAAAGCGUGGGGAGCGAACAGGAUUAGAUACCCCGGUAGUC